UACGUAGGGAGCAAGCGUUGUCCGGAAUCAUUGGGCGUAAAGCGCGCGUAGGCGGCCCUGUAAGUCCGUUGUGAAAGUCAAAGGCUCAACCUUUGAAAGCCGAUGGAUACUGCAGGGCUAGAGUUCGGAAGAGGCGAGUGGAAUUCCUGGUGUAGCGGUGGAAUGCGCAGAUAUCAGGAGGAACACCAAUAGCGAAGGCAGCUCGCUGGGACGAUACUGACGCUAAGGCGCGAAAGCGUGGGGAGCAGACAGG
rnacentral:rRNA from 1 species